AGUCGUGUGAGAUUGCCAGUGAGCAGAAAGAAGGGGAGAAGAGAGUGAACUUGAGCCAGUAGAUAGGAUGUGAAAGUGGAAUCUGGUGUGGAGAGGACACAAUGGAAGUGCUUACCUGGCCAAGAAACUUUCAAGUGCCAAGUGAAUAGGAACAUGCCAAACAUUUUAUGGUGGUUAGCAGUGAAAUUAAAAGGUAAUUAACUGCAAUAAUCGUUUCCCAGUUUCAGCACCACCUCAAAACCAAUUGCUCAACAGUAAAUAGCAAUCCCCAUCGUAGAUUGUAAGCUUGUUUUGAGCAGUACUUUCUUUACCACCAAUAUCCUCCUAAAGAUAAAGGCACUCUAAGCACCAGGACCAACACAGCUUAAAGGAAUACCAAAGCUUUGGGAAUACAACCAUGCAGACCCCCUGCUGUAAGAUUUUUGAAGGC